AUUGAACGCUGGCGGCAUGCCUUACACAUGCAAGUCGAACGGCAGCACGGGUGCUUGCACCUGGUGGCGAGUGGCGAACGGGUGAGUAAUAUAUCGGAACGUGCCCGAUCGUGGGGGAUAACGGAGCGAAAGCUUUGCUAAUACCGCAUACGAUCUGAGGAUGAAAGCGGGGACCGUAAGGCCUCGCGCGAUCGGAGCGGCCGAUGUCAGAUUAGGUAGUUGGUGGGGUAAAGGCUCACCAAGCCGACGAUCUGUAGUUGGUCUGAGAGGACGACCAGCCACACUGGGACUGAGACACGGCCCAGACUCCUACGGGAGGCAGCAGUGGGGAAUUUUGGACAAUGGGCGCAAGCCUGAUCCAGCAAUGCCGCGUGCAGGAAGAAGGCCUUCGGGUUGUAAACUGCUUUUGUCAGGGAAGAAAUCCUUUGGGCUAAUACCUCGGGGGGAUGACGGUACCCGAAGAAUAAGCACCGGCUAACUACGUG
rnacentral:rRNA from 1 species